UGUAGCCUACGGGGCGCAGCAGUGGGGAAUAUUGCACAAUGGGGGAAACCCUGAUGCAGCGACGCCGCGUGAGUGAGGAAGUAUUUCGGUAUGUGAAGCUCUAUCAGCAGGGAAGAAAAUGACGGUACCUAACUAAGAAGCCCCGGCUAACUACGUGCCAGCAGCCGCGGUAAUACGUAGGGGGCAAGCGUUAUCCGGAUUUACUGGGUGUAAAGGGAGCGUAGACGGUUAAUCAAGUCAGAAGUGAAAACCCAGGGCUCAACCUUGGGACUGCUUUUGAAACUGAGUAGCUAGAGUGCAGGAGG
rnacentral:rRNA from 1 species